rnacentral:rRNA from 1 species
CCUACGGGUGGCAGCAGUGAGGAAUAUUGGUCAAUGGUCGGGAGACUGAACCAGCCAAGCCGCGUGAGGGAGGACGGUACAGAGUAUCGUAAACCUCUUUUGUCAGGGAACAAAGACUGGGACGCGUCCCCGGAUGAGUGUCCCUGAAGAAAAAGCAUCGGCUAACUCCGUGCCAGCCGCCGCGGUAAUACGGAGGAUGCGCGCGUUAUCCGGCUUUAUGGGGUUUAAAGGGUGCGCAGGCGGUCUGUUAAGUCAGCGGUCAAAGCCCGGGGCUCACCCCCGGACCGCCGUUGAAACUGGCAGUCUCGAGUGGGAGAGAAGUAUGCGGAAUGCGCGGUGUAGCGGUGAAAUGCAUAG